AUACGGAAGGUGCAAGCGUUACUCGGAAUCACUGGGCGUAAAGCGCGCGCAGGCGGCUUGAUAAGUUGGAUGUGAAAGCCUACGGCUCAACCGUAGAACUGCAUCCAAAACUGUCAAGCUAGAGUCUGGGAGGGGAAGAUGGAAUUAGUUGUGUAGGGGUAAAAUCCGUAGAGAUAACUAGGAAUACCAAAAGCGAAGGCGAUCUUCUGGAACAGUACUGACGCUGAGGCGCGAAAGCGUGGGGAGCAAACAGGAUUAGAAACCCCAGUAGUCC
rnacentral:rRNA from 1 species